rnacentral:rRNA from 1 species
UGUCUUUAUGGCAAAUGUGAGAUGCAGUGUAUGGAAUGUCAAAUUUCUAGUAUGAGAAAUUAACGAUUUAAGUCCUUCUUAAAUGAGGCCAUUUACCCAAAGAGGGUGCCAGGCCCGUAUAACGUUAAUGAUUACUAGAUGACAUUUCCAAAGAGUCGUGUUGCUUGAUAGUGCAGCACUAAGUGGGUGGUAAACUCCAUCUAAAACUAAAUAUAACCAUGAGACCGAUAGUAAACAAGUACCGUGAGGGAAAGUUGAAAAGAACUCUGAAUAGAGAGUUAAAUAGUACGUGAAACUGCUUAGAGGUUAAGCCCGAUGAACCUGAAUAUCCAUUAUGGAAAAUUCAUCAUUAUGAUUUUAAUAUUUAUAAUAUUAUAAUAAUGGUGUGCAUUUUUUCCAUAUAAGGACAUUGUAAUCUAUUAACAAACAGAUUUAUUAUAAGAUCAUUGGCUUUAGUUUAUUCAAAUUAUUUUGCUUGCGAUUUAACAUAGAAUAAAUGCUUUUGAUUUGAUAAAGUGUUGAUAGAUUUAUUAUAUAUAGUGCUUGAAUAUAUUUAUAUAUUCUAUAAUAGCGUAUUGAUCAAUGAUUUUUAUGUUCAUUAUAUGCACUUAUAUGAUUAACAAUGCGAAAGAUUCAGGAUACCUUCGGGACCCGUCUUGAAACMCGGACCAAGGAGUCUAACAUAUUUGCAAGUUAUUGGGAAUUAAAAACCUAAUAGCGAAAUUAACAUAACUUAUAUAAUGGGAUUAGUUUUUAGGUCUAUUUAUAGUCUAUUAAUUCAAUCCCGGGGCGUUCUAUACAGUUAUGUAUAAUAGUAUUUAUAUUAUUUAUACCUCUAACUAGAGCGUACCUUGAGCAUAUAUGCUGUGACCCGAAAGAUGGUGAACUAUACUUGAUCAGGUUGAAGUCAGGGGAAACCCUGAUGGAAGACCGAAACAGUUCUGACGUGCAAAUCGAUUGUCAGAAUUGAGU